GGCGAAGUAGCUCAGUCGGAAGAGCACCGGACUCAUAACCCGGGGGUCGGAGGUUCGAACCCUCUCUUCGCCAC
rnacentral:tRNA from 1 species